rnacentral:tRNA from 1 species
UUUACUUAGGCGGUGUAAUCCGUAUCAAGCUUAGGACUUGGAGUAGAAUUUUUCAAGUAAAG